rnacentral:lncRNA from 1 species
CUAUUGCUAUGAAUUGAGGAUGGAGCUGUCCUUGGAAGUGAACUGGAGAACCUUUGAAUCGGAAGGGGAGGUCGUCUUUGGAAGGGGAGGUCGUCCUUGGAAGUGCACUGGAAAACCUUUGAAUCGAAAGUGCACUGGUUCAGCCUUUGAAUUGGAAGGGAAGGCCGGUGAUGGCUCGCCAGAUUCUGAAAAUGGUGACGGCGGCGCGGCGGACCGCCUAGAGCAGGAAGAAGGCAGUGGCCGGUGAUGGCUCGCCGGAUUUUAUGAUUUUUUUUUUAGAAAUUCUUCAAAAUAUCAAAACGACGUCGUUUUGUACACGUGGCUUGCCAACGUGUAAAAAAACCACGUGGCUAUCCAUGUCAUCGCCGGUGAAACUUAAGAGUUGCCGGAAUCUUUGCCGAGUGCAAUUUGUAACAAAAUUAAAAGGUGAUGUAUUUUGAGGCUAUUUUUGAAGGUCAUGUGCAAUUUGCAAAUUUCGUGAAAGUUUGUGUAUUUUUCGACUAUUAACCCAUAAAAAAAUGACAAAUGCAUACUUUUAUGGAACGUUCCAAAAUAUAUAUAAAAAAAAGUGCACGCUUUUGUGAGAUGAAUGAAGUAUAUAUUAUAAACUAAAUGAAUCCGUGGACCAUAUCAAAAUCUCAAAAAUCAUUUUCCCUCCGUGCACAAAGAUUGUGUGUUUAUUACUAUUUUCGUCCGUCCACAAAGAUUGUAUGUUUCUUUUUUUUAGAAAUCUCAUUUAUACUUUAAACCCCAUUCGCACUCAAUAUUUACAAAAUACAUACUCUUUACUUUUACAAUUUGGUGGGUCAAAUAUAGGGUUGGGAAUCGGGUCGGGAUCGGGUACCCUACCCGAAAAAAUCGGGUACCCGAUCCCGAAUAAAACCAAAAUCCUAUACCCGACUCCGAGCCCGAAAAAAAAUCGGGUACCCUAAUACUCGACUCGGGUACCCGAGUCGGGUAUUCGGGUACCCUAAAUUACCUGGUUGAAAUUGCAUCUUUUAAGUCAAACUGUGAAAAUCGAGUAUUUCGGGUAUUAGGGUACCCGAUUUGGCUUAAUCGGGUAUUAGGGUACCCUAAUACCCUAUUUUCUUUUAAAAUUUUUCGAAAAUGUAGCCCCUAUUUUCAGCCUUUGCCCUAUAUAAUUG